GUGCUCGCUUCAGCAGUACGUAUACUAAAAUUGGAAUGAUGCAGAGAUUAGCAUGGCCUCUGAGUAAG
rnacentral:snRNA from 1 species